AUGAAGUGGCUGAGCUUUGGUCCAUCCCAUUUCUGCUCCACUUCUUCUCCAUCACCCCCGCCUGGCUCCGGCUUUCAUCAGCAUCUUCUCAGGGACUUUCAGAAAAAAAUCUUGGAGCAUUCUCUGUCUCUGCAUCUCUUCCUCUUUCCCUCUCCUUGUCUCUGUCUCUGUCUCUGUCUCUGUCUCUGUCUCUGCAUCUCUUCCUCUUUCCCUCUCCUUGUCUCUGUCUCUGUCUCUGUCUCUGCAUCUCUUCCUCUUUCCCUCUCCUUGUCUCUGUCUCUGUCUCUGUCUCUGUCUCUGCAUCUCUUCCUCUUUCUCUCUCCUUGUCUCUGUCCCUCCCUAUCUCUCUCCAGUUACCUCGUUGUCCCUUUCUGUGGCUGCUGUCAUCUUCACCUUCUUGGAUUUCUGUUCUCUGAAGACGUGAAGCAGCAGUUCGCCUGCUCAGGGCUGCUUAUCUGCCCAGAGGGCCUCUACCAGCUUUCCCAUUGCACAGCCAUCUUUCUUCCCUCCUGGCAAGCUCAGGGCAGUGCAGGGUUCGCCUGUUGGCUGCAUCGUGGCAUUCGUGUCUGGGGGUGGGGUGGAGGCUGCGUUUACUGGGAGGGCUCUGUCCCUCGUGCUGGCCUCGCGCCACGUCUCCAGGACCCGAGGGAGACGGUGCCCUCUGAGAAGGUGGCUGCUUCUCGUUCUUUUCUUUCCCAUUCACUGGCGCUCCGUGGCAUCUCCAUUCCCAACUCGUUGGUCUCCCUCGUGUUUCUUUGCUGAGAUCCGUCUUUCCCCAGAAGCAGGGAAGCUGUUCCGUCGCCGGUGCGGGCUGCCCGUGGUCGGGUCUCGGCCCCUGCAAAAGGAAGGGACUGGAAUCGACCCAACAGAAGGGUGGCCUUGCCUCGAUUUCUCUACAAGUUCGGUAACGUAUGACCAAAGCCGUGGCCGGCCGUCAUCACAAAAGGGAGGCCGGAAUCACUGAGAGCCGGGACGACGUCGGUGAGAGCAGGCCAGGCCGGGGUGGCCGUUUCCUUUCUCUGACAGGAUAAAGGAAAUGCCAGCGCACAGAAGGGCUGAGCUGAGGGGGCAGCUGGCCCAGGGCUGCCCCGAGGACUUGGCGAAGCGUGGCACGCUAUUCUUUUUUUUCCCUUCCUGGGGUUUAUUUGAAUGUUCACGCCCUCGGUUCAAACAGAGCCCAGCAAGGAAGGCCGGAGGGUCAGGGCACUCAGGACGGCAAACGCUUUUUGUCUGCCUCCCGGACGUCAACCCCCUCAGGAGUUCUGGGUGAAUGUGGUGAGGUGGCGCCCGCUCAGGGUCUUUGGCCCAUCUUCGUUGGGGCUCCAUCAAGCUCCUCGUGUGUGGAUCUGUUGGAUGAGGAAGUCUCGUGGCAGCGGCCGCCUUGGUAUGUGCAAUAGGGGUCACGUCUUUGUCGAUGCAGAAGUGCGCCUCGGAGGCUGGCAGGAGCUCUCUGUCCAGGGCAGAGAUGCCACUCGUCUACCGUGGCUGGACACGGAACUCCUGUUCAGUGAGGGCCAAGGAGCCAGGCAGCGGGGCCAUGGGCAUGGCGGUACAGAGCGCGGGG
rnacentral:lncRNA from 1 species